CGAAACUCAGCAUUUAAUUUAAGAGGGGAAUGAUCUCAGUGAACAGCAUGUGAUUCAUCGAAAAUAAUCAACUUGUUAGAGGUCAAAUUACACUAUACAUUAAGAAUAACCCCUCAUCUCCAUAUAUCAUAUAGUUGGAGCUCUGGAAAAAACAAUCUCCCACCCAAUUCUCAAACAUCUCUAUGCUUCUUCUCUGUACUUCCUUCCACCAACAUAACUCUACACCUCCGCUUGGGUAAUGAUCGGGAAUAACAACCAUAAAACCAAAGCAAGAACAAGCCCCCCAGCCCAUGAAUCUGCUAGCUUACAUUCUUUAGCUAUAUUACACACUGAUACAAAUCAAGACAUUGGAUGUUCGGCAUUCAUCCAAGCAGCAGAAGCCAUGAAAGGAGGAGAACAAUUACGCUUCAGUUAUCACACAUCUGCAUCUAUGCCUGGGGGAGACUGUGGGGGGACAGCUUCGACAUGAAAUUCAAAGAGGGAACCACUUCCCGCUAAGACUCUCCUCGCAGCUUGAGAAUGUUGAUUUCUACCAAUCUUUCUGGAAGGAAGUGACUCCGAGGCAGCAGCCUUUGAUGAACUGUUGCUUUCAAAGGAUGCUAAGAAUUUGUCCUUCGAUAGAGAUUCUUGAGCAGAUAAAACAAUAGAACUAAAAACACCACUCUCCCUCAAACCUUGGACAAUAACCAUGGGAGCAUAAAUACGGGUUAAAAUGCCUUUCCUCAACAGUUUCAGGUUCAUCGCUUUGUCAGUCCAUACGACAUGUUCACGGUACCAGCUUAACAUCUCAUCCUCUGUAGCAGUUGAAGCAAUAAUAAAUGCAGAUCUAUCAAAUUCCAACAUGAAGCAUCUCUUCACAUCCUCCUUUGUGGGCUUGCAACCACAUCUAUCUCGUCUUGAAGUCAAGUCAGAAAACUUGGAAUAUGUGUAAUGCAG
rnacentral:misc_RNA from 1 species